AUGUUAUAUAUACAUAUACAUCAGUAUAAUAUAGUAUAGUCAUCUUCUUCUUUACUGUCCAACAGAUUUCAGUGUUUUUUUGUCUUCUUCACAGGCACAAGUCUUUACCCUAAAACAUCACACAAGACAUUAUAUAGUCCUGCAAGUCCAAAACAGACUAGUCAUUUUCUGCUCUGGAACACUACUGGCCAAGGUUUUGAUGUCUUAUCAAGCACUGAACAGCCAGCUAAUAGCCGAUUCAGUAUAACAUCUCUCUCACUGACUACAAGUGGAUUGGAGGUGACUAAAAAUUCAAACAGCACAUCAAGUCAAGCUUUUGAACCAAGGAACCUGCUCCUGAUUUUAAUUCCUGCACUUGUCAUUGGUUGUAUUCUUAUUAUGAUUCUACUUAUUCUCAUAAUAAUAAAGAUUCAAAGGA